rnacentral:rRNA from 1 species
UACAGGGGGUGCAAACGUUGCUCGGAAUCAUUGGGCGUAAAGCGCACGUAGGUGGUCGUUUAAGUCGGGUGUGAAAGCCCUGGGCUCAACUCAGGAAGUGCAUCCGAAACUGAUCGGCUGGAGUACGAAAGAGGGUCGCGGAAUUCCCGGUGUAGAGGUGAAAUUCGUAGAUAUCGGGAGGAACACCAGCGGCGAAGGCGGCGACCUGGUUCGAUACUGACGCUGAGGUGCGAAAGCGUGGGGAGCAAACAGG